rnacentral:SRP_RNA from 2 species
GCCGGGCAUGGUGCUGCACGCCUGUAGUCCCAGCUACUCGGGAGGCUGAGGCAGGAGAAUCACUUGAACUCAGGAGACGGAAGUUGCAGUGAGCUGAGACUGUGCCACUGCACUUCAGCCUGGGUGACAGAGUGAGACUCUGUCUUAA